rnacentral:rRNA from 1 species
UACAGAGGGGGCAAGCGUUUGUUCGGAAUUACUGGGCGUAAAGGGCGCGUAGGCGGCCGCCUAAGUCAGACGUGAAAUCCCUCGGCUCAACCGGGGAACUGCGUCUGAUACUGGCGGGCUUGAAUCCGGGAGAGGGAUGCGGAAUUCCAGGUGUAGCGGUGAAAUGCGUAGAUAUCUGGAGGAACACCAAUGGCGAAGGCAGCUCGCUGGAACGGUACUGACGCUGAGACGCGAAAGCGUGGGGAGCGAACAGG